AAAGUGCUCGCCUGACUUUGAAGCCCCGAAGAAUACACAAUAUCACCGGGCACGACAAGUGAAAAAGACCUCGUGUUUCCUCUGCCUUCCCAGGGAUCAUAGCAGGCAAAGGAGAGGGUACGGGGGGGGGAACGGCUAGGCUACACGUUUCCUCUGAGAGGGUACAGGGAGGGGAACGGCUAGGCUACACGUUUCCUCUGAGAGGGUACAGGGAGGGGAACGGCUAGGCUACACGUUUCCUCUGAGAGGGUACAGGGAGGGGAACGGCUAGGCUACACGUUUCCUCUGAGAGGGUACAGGGCGGGGAACGGCUAGGCUACACAUUUCCUCUGAGAGGGUACAGGGAGGGGAACGGCUAGGCUACACCUUUCCUCUGCUUCACACCAUAACAAACCGGCUCGCUGUGAGACUUACAGAGCACUGGCUCGAGGUUAUGUGAGACACAGCGUUUUCUUCUAUCUUUUUUUUAACCUAUGAUUGAAUUACGUCUCAGAUCUCAUCUGUUGUGUGGCAGUUCUAUGGACUAUUUGGACUGUCAGUCUGCACCGUCUUCCCUUCCCUCUCAGUCAGCGCCACAAGUUCAC
ensembl:lncRNA